rnacentral:rRNA from 1 species
AUACAUAGACAUGAUGAGGCGAGACGCAGGGAACUGAAACAUCUAAGUACCUGCAGGAAGAGAAAAUAAGAAUGAUUUUCUGAGUAGCGGCGAGCGAAAGGGAAAGAGCCCAAACCGAUCUGAGGAUCGGGGUAGUAGGAUCAUCGAGAAAUCUGACAGAGGAUCAUAGAGGAAUCACAUGGGAAGGUGAGCGAGAGAGGGUGAGAGCCCCGUACUCGAAAUGAGAGACUGGAGAGAGAUGACACCUGAGUAGGGCGGGACACGAGAAAUCCUGUCUGAAUCAGCCGGGACCAUCCGGCAAGGCUAAAUACGAGAGAGUGACCGAUAGUGAACCAGUACCGUGAGGGAAAGGUGAAAAGAACCCCGGGAGGGGAGUGAAAGAGAACCUGAAACCAUAUGCCUACAAGAAGUCAGAGCCCGUUAAAGGGUGAUGGCGUGCCUUUUGUAGAAUGAACCGGCGAGUUACUGUAUGGAGCGAGGUUAAGCAGGAUAUGCGGAGCCGAAGCGAAAGCGAGUCUUAAGAGGGCGCGAGUUGCAUGCAGUAGACCCGAAACCGGGUGAUCUAGCCAUGACCAGGUUGAAGUUGGGGUAAAACCCGAUGGAGGACCGAACCGACCCCCGUUGAAACGUUGGCGGAUGAGUUGUGGCUAGGGGUGAAAUUCCAAUCGAACCCGGAGAUAGCUGGUUCUCCCCGAAAUAGCUUUAGGGCUAGCGUCGAGGUAGAGAGUUGCGUGAAGGUAGAGCACUGAAUAUGUGAUGGCCCCAUCUCGGGGUACUGAGCAUAAUCAAACUGCGAAUGUCACGAGAACAUGCUCGGCAGUCAGACAGCGGGUGAUAAGGUCCGUUGUCAAGAGGGAAACAGCCCAGACCAUCAGCUAAGGUCCCAAAAUGUAUGCUAAGUGGAAAAGGAUGUGGAGAUGUACAGACAACUAGGAGGUUGGCUCAGAAGCAGCCAUCCUUUAAAGAGUGCGUAACAGCUCACUAGUCGAAUGACUCUGCGCCGAUAAUUUACCGGGGCUAAGCAUACUACCGAAGCUAUGGAUCCCAAGGGAUGGUAGGGGAGCGUUCCAUGAACGGAGAAGUACGACCGAAAGGACGUGUGGAGAUCAUGGAAGAGAGAAUGCCGGUGUGAGUAGCGGAACGUGGGUGAGAAUCCCACGCACCGAAAACCCAAGGUUUCCAGAGGAAGGUUCGUCCGCUCUGGGUAAGUCGGGACCUAAGGCGAGGCCGAAAGGCGUAGUCGAUGGACAACAGGUAGAGAUUCCUGUACCCGUAUAUAUGUGAAGGAAUGACGGAGAGAGGAAGCUGCAGCCAGCGGCUGGAAGAGCUGGUGCAAGCGAGAUAUCGGGAUGGCAGGCAAAUCCACCAUCCGAAACGAGAAGGCGUGAAGCGUACGGAAAGCUACGGCGAGUACGGAAGGCAGUGGAGGAACUUCCAAGAAAAGUUUCUAACGUUAAGUAUAUAUGGCCCGUACCGAAAAUGGACACACAUGGGUGAGGAGAGAAUCCUAAGGUGAGCGAGAGAACUAUAGCUAAGGAACUCUGCAAAAUGACUCCGUAACUUAGGGAGAAGGAGUGCUCAUAGAGAUAUGAGCCGCAGUGAAACGGCCCAAGCGACUGUUUACCAAAAACACAGCUCUCUGCUAAGCCGCAAGGCGAAGUAUAGGGGGUGACGCCUGCCCGGUGCUGGAAGGUUAAGGGGAAGUGUUAACGCAAGUGAAGCCCUGAAUUGAAGCCCCAGUAAACGGCGGCCGUAACUAUAACGGUCCUAAGGUAGCGAAAUUCCUUGUCAGGUAAGUUCUGACCCGCACGAAAGGCGUAACGAUUUGGGCGCUGUCUCAGCUGUAGACUCGGUGAAGUCUUAGUACCUGUGAAGAUGCAGGUUACCCGCGACUAGACGGAAAGACCCCAUGGAGCUUCACUGCAGGUUGAUAUUGGGAUUUGAUGCAGCAUGUACAGGAUAGGUAGGAGGCAAAGAGAUGGAUACGCCAGUAUUCAAGGAGCCGCUGUUGGGAUACUACCCCUGUUGUAUUGGAUUUCUAACCGGACGACGUAGAGCCGUUGACGGGACAGUGUCAGUCGGGCAGUUUGACUGGGGCGGUCGCCUCCCAAAGAGUAACGGAGGCGCCCAAAGAUACCCUCAGCUUGGAUGGAAACCAAGCGCAGAGUGCAAAGGCAAAAGGGUGU